AGGCGAUGAUGAAGAAUGAAGUCAUGCACCACGCCGAUGAGAUUUAGAGUCUCAUGUGCUGACACCAGAUAUUCUACCCAUUGUUAUCUGAGCCU